rnacentral:lncRNA from 1 species
GACACUUGACUCCAGAAGGACCAGAAGAAAAGCCAUUUUCAUUGCGUCACGUAGGAGCUAAAAGGUGUGUCAAGUUGACAACCAACAUCGCUUCCACUUUGUGAAUGAAGAUGCUGAGGCCGCCAGUGGAGCCAGUAGCCUGGGUUUUCCAAGCAUCUCUCAUCUUCAGGCACACACACUGGACCACAGACUGAAACCCUUGGUGCCGUCUCCUCUGCACCUCCCAAGUCUGCUUCCUGUAUGACCAGCCCUUGAGAUCCGAAGAUGCUAGAAAGAUGAGGUUGGGGAGUGAGGUAUCUUCUACCUAUGCCGGCCUGGCACAGCAUCCUCAGCUGCACGCAUGAGCGAAUGCCACAAUGUGCUUACAUCAGAACUUCUAAAAGUGUAAUGCCCUGGUCACUUCCGGGUGCUGUCCUGCAGAUGCCUUUAAUAAAUGUUUUUAUUUCCUCA